rnacentral:lncRNA from 1 species
AAGGGUCUGGACAUAGGCCUGGGGGUGCUGGAAUGGCUGAAGCUGGGGGGCAUACAUAGGAGUUCUGCAACAGAGGCCCAGGAGAGACUGUGGGGGUGUCCCACUGUAUGGCAUGGAGACCUGUGGCUGUGAGGCUCCUGGGGGCUCGCCUUGGACCGCGAUGGGGCCGGGCUGCGGCCUCCUAACGGGACUGAGGUGUGCAGCCCGCGAGCUGCCGCUGCCCGCAUCUCGGAGCACCCCCGCCCCCCCCCUGGCCCGGCGCGGGCCCGGCGCCCGCCAUGAACGGCCUGUCGGUGAGCGAGCUCUGCUGCCUGUUCUGCUGCCCACCCUGCCCGGGCCGCAUCGCGGCCAAGCUCGCCUUCCUGCCUCCCGAGCCCACCUACUCUCUGGUACCUGAACCCGAGCCGGGGCCCGGCGGGGCCGGCGCUGCCCCCUCGGGUCCCCUGCGGACCUCAGCGGCCACCCCCGGGCGCUGGAAGAUCCACCUGACGGAGCGCGCUGACUUCCAGUAUGGCCAGCGCGAGCUGGACACCAUUGAGGUCUUCGUGACCAAGAGCGCGCGCGCCAACCGCAUUGCCUGCAUGUAUGUGCGCUGUGUACCGGGUGCCAGGUACACAGUUCUCUUCUCGCAUGGCAAUGCGGUGGACCUGGGCCAGAUGUGCAGCUUUUAUGUUGGCCUGGGCACACGCAUCGGCUGCAACAUCUUCUCUUACGACUACUCUG